UACGUAGGUGCGAGCGUUGUCCGGAUUUAUUGGGCGUAAAGCGCGCGCAGGCGGUGCGGUAAGUCUGUCGUGAAAUCUCCCGGCUCAACUGGGAGGGUGCGGUGGAGACUGCCGGACUGGAGGCACUCAGAGGCCGGUGGAAUUCCCGGUGUAGUGGUGAAAUGCGUAGAGAUCGGGAGGAACACCAGUGGCGAAGGCGGCCGGCUGGGGGUGACCUGACGCUGAGGCGCGAAAGCGUGGGGAGCGAACCGG
rnacentral:rRNA from 1 species